ACUCCUGACUGACCGAUAGUGAACCAGUACCGUGAGGGAAAGGCGAAAAGAACCCCGGCGAGGGGAGUGAAAAAGAACCUGAAACCGUGUACGUACAAGCAGUGGGAGCACCCUUUGGGGUGUGACUGCGUACCUUUUGUAUAAUGGGUCAGCGACUUAUAUUCUGUAGCAAGGUUAACCGUAUAGGGGAGCCGAAGGGAAACCGAGUCUUAACCGGGCGUUAAGUUGCAGGGUAUAGACCCGAAACCCGGUGAUCUAGCCAUGGGCAGGUUGAAGGUUGGGUAACACUAACUGGAGGACCGAACCGACUAAUGUUGAAAAAUUAGCGGAUGACCUGUGGCUGGGGGUGAAAGGCCAAUCAAACCGGGAGAUAGCUGGUUCUCCCCGAAAGCUAUUUAGGUAGCGCCUCGUGAAUUCAUCUCCGGGGGUAGAGCACUGUUUCGGCUAGGGGGCCAUCCCGGCUUACCAACCCGAUGCAAACUGCGAAUACCGGAGAAUGUUAUCACGGGAGACACACGGCGGGUGCUAACGUCCGUCGUGAAGAGGGAAACAACCCAGACCGCCAGCUAAGGUCCCAAAGUCAUGGUUAAGUGGGAAACGAUGUGGGAAGGCCCAGACAGCCAGGAUGUUGGCUUAGAAGCAGCCAUCAUUUAAAGAAAGCGUAAUAGCUCACUGGUCGAGUCGGCCUGCGCGGAAGAUGUAACGGGGCUAAACCAUGCACCGAAGCUGCGGCAGCGACACUGUGUGUUGUUGGGUAGGGGAGCGUUCUGUAAGCCUGUGAAGGUGUGUCGUGAGGCAU
rnacentral:rRNA from 1 species